CGUUAGCUCAGUUGGUAGAGCAACUGACUUUUAAUCAGUAGGUCGUUGGUUCGAACCCAACA
rnacentral:tRNA from 2 species